rnacentral:rRNA from 1 species
UACGUAGGGGGUGAGCGUUGUCCGGAUUCAUUGGGCGUAAAGCGCGCGUAGGCGGCUCCGCAAGUCGGCCGUGAAAUCUCCGGGCUCAACUCGGAGGGGUCGGGCGAGACUGCGAGGCUCGAGGUGGGCAGAGGGCAGUGGAAUUCCGGGUGUAGUGGUGGAAUGCGUAGAGAUCCGGAGGAACACCAGUGGCGAAGGCGGCUGCCUGGGCCUGGCCUGACGCUGAGGCGCGAAAGCGUGGGGAGCAAUCCGG